GGAGAGGUAGCGUAAUUGGUAACGCAGCGGUCUUGAAAACCGCCGCCCUUUACGGGCUUGCAGGUUCGAGUCCUGUCCUCUCCGCCA
rnacentral:tRNA from 2 species